AUAAACAAAAUUUAACACACAUUUUUACUGGGGAAGGGAAGCCGCGGGGAACCAAAUUUGGUUAUCGAGCAGCGACACCCAAGAUUCGUCAUCUAAUUUAAUUUGGAAACUCGGAAGUUAUGUUUGAAGAAUAAAAUGUACCGGUACAGGUUUGAAAAUCCCAUCCCAUCGGAUAACUCGUAGGGUAUUCCCUGAUUAAUCGGGUAAGUAAAGGUCUGAAAUGCUGAUACGUGUUGUAUAUAUUGUCUAGAAAUAGCCUGAAUGCGAACACUAUAGACACUAAUAAGUAGUUUAUAUAUAACCAUAGUUUAAAUAGGCGCAAACAUGCAAAUGGCAAUGAAUUAUAAAUAGGCCAUAUUACAGGAUGAAAAGGACGCGGGAAAUCAGUGGUGGUUAUCGAGCAGCGGCACCUAUAAAAUAACUCUGGACACUAUAUUAUAAAGAAGAAAAAGUCAAAUACAGUGUAAAUAAAUUGGAAAAUAAAAUGCAUACAAUAUCUCGAGGCAAUCUGCUAUAAUCAACAGUCGCUCACUUCAACAAAACACGACUCUGAACACCACUAACUUGGUAACCAUGGAGAUGGUAUUAAUGGACUGUGUCACAACAAUACUAUUGCUGUAUUGUGAUGCGCAUUGUCUAACAGUCGGCAAUAAACGUCAGAUUCCGAAGGCGUAACACUGGCUUUCAAUUAGACGCGGUGGAUAUUGAGAGCAAAGAAAACAGGUGAGGGUAUGAAAACAGUAAUACAACAACUUAGGAGACAGAUUGUUUCAAACAAUUGGAAGUGGUGUCAUAAAAGCAGCCACAAUAAAGAUCUUGGUCGGGUUGUUACAAACAUUCGAAGUAAGUCGACACGAAAUUCUUUUUCAUAUUUGAUUUGAAAAGUUGGUAUGACAUGCUUCGUAAAUCAGCACGGAGAGCAUUCCACAUAAUAACACCCUUAUAUUUGAGUGAAUUUUGAGUUUUAGUGUAAGUCUGUCGAGGUACAUGGAGUGAUGAAGUGGAUGCUGAUCUAGUGUUAUAAUUGUGAACAUUGCUUUGCUUGACAAAAUAGUUAUUAAAUGCCUGUGGCAGGCAACAAUUGUGGAAUUGGUGCAUCAACUUACCAAUUUCUAGAUGAUAAAUAUCGGUAUACUUCAGGACACCAGUUUCAUGAUACAU